AACGGGCGGGUGUUGGUCGGCGGGCAAGAAGACCCUUUUGAGCUUGACUCCAAUCCGAUCCUGGGGAUGGGAUCAUCGGUGCAGCAUACAGGGGAGGCCGCUUCCAUGAGAUACCCUGACGUUGUUCACCAUCCCACUCACCGACUUACAUCGGCACACGGUCGGAUGGGGAGUUUGGCUGGGGCGGCGCGCCUGCUAGAUCACACCGCAGGCGUCCUAUGGUAAGCUCAGUGAGGUCGGAAACCUCACGUGGAGCAUAAGGGCAUAAGCUUACUUGACUAGUACCCCCUGUCCCGGUACUUGCCGUGAAAGCGUGGCCUAACGAUCCUUCAACCGCUCCGGUAAUCCGAGCGUGGAGGUGACAGAAAAGUUACCACAGGAUAACUGGCUUGUGGCCGCCAAGCGCCCAUAGCGACGUGGCUUUUUGAUCCUUCGAUGUCGGCUCUUCCUACCGUCCGCAUGCAUCGGUGCGGAAGCGUCGGAUUGUUCACCCGUCUAAGGGAUCGUGAGCUGGGUUUAGACCGUCGUGAGACAGGUUAGUUUUAUCCUACCGACCAUCUCCAUGCGUCCAGUACGUCGGGUCAGUACGAGAGGAACACCCGUCGCGAGCCUCCGAUCUCCCCGGUUGUUUGACUUGACAGUGCCGGUCUGUCGCGCUCGGGGGACUAGCACUGGAACGCCUCUAAGUGUCCAUCCCACCUACUCGCAUGGGUUGAGGGGCUUCCCCUCGAUUCGCCCGGGUUGACGACCCUUUUCUCCGACCUACUGUACGGCGUGGAGCUUCUUGCGACCGCCUGAGGUUUGGUUCGGGUUGGCAUUCCCCCCCGAG
rnacentral:rRNA from 1 species